CCACAGUGCCUGACAAUACUAUCCCUGGAAUUUCUGGGUGACAUUGGUAUGCCACGCUUAUUUCCCUGCAGUACUCUGAUGCUGCCAUAAAAUACCACCAGGAGAGGACUUUUCACCAGAUGGAGAAAGCAAAUUGCACAGGUCUCAUGCUUAGCCACAGAGGGAACUGGCUUUGCUUUUCCUGCUGCUGAAUGCAACUCUGCCAGCCGGAGAGAUCCAGCCAUCACCAGAAUUAUCUGGAAUUGUGCACCUUCUGGGUCUUCCCCAAAGCCAAAAUGCCAUGAAAGAAAAAUGUUUUGAAUGGAUUCAGGACAUCAAGGGAGCCCUGACAGCCCAACUAAAGAUACUCAGGAAAAAGGACUUCCAGAAUUGCUUCAGAAAGUGGCAUUAAUGAUGUGAUCCACGCGUUUCACACAAGAGGGAGGAUUUUGAGAGCUACUAUCCCUGAGUGCCUCUGUUACCUGCUGCUCACUGCUCCCUGCAAACACAGAGACAAUCUUUCGGGAGGAAGGAGAAAGCCUUCAUGUAAAGCUAUCUCUGAAGCUGAUGGGGCCCCCUUACUGCCUCAGCUUACCAUCUACAGUGUUCAGGUAUGCAAGGGCCUUCCAGUGAGGAGGAGAGGAGAGAAAUACAAUGAGAAGAUAGAUAAGACCUUCUCAUAGCCCCCCAUGCAGGACCUUUUUAACACCUUCCCUCCCUUCUGGAAAGGAAACUGGACUCCCACCUCCGGGGCCUUGUAGGGAAAUAUGAAGGUGCAAGAUAGUGGCCCUUUGAAGGGAAAGGGGAUCUGGUAGGCAGUGAAUUCUGUGUCAACAAAACUAUGGCACAGGUGCAUCUCCCUGUACUCCAAUGUAAAUAACUUCUGUAGCCAAGGCCAUUUUCUGAUUAGUGUAAAUAAUUUAUAGAGCUAAUACGCUUUUGCUGGCACAUAGCCAUCUUUGUCUAUGCUCCCAUAUAUGCCCAGAUGCCCAUGUGGAGGCACAGCUGCUUGACAGCUGGAAAUAAAGAUAUCAAAUUUGC